GAUGAACGCUAGCGGCAGGCCUAAUACAUGCAAGCCGAACGGCAAGUUUGAUAGCAAUAUUGGACCUAGAGUGGCGCAAGGGUGCGUAACACGUAUGCAACCUGCCCGCGACAGGAGGAUAGCUCCCCGAAAGGGGAAUUAACCCUCCAUAACACCAUGAGAAGGCAUCUGAUUAUGGUUAAACCGCAAGGGGUCGCGGAUGGGCAUGCGGUUGAUUAGCUAGUUGGCGGGGUAAAGGCCCACCAAGGCGGUGAUCAAUAGGGGUUCUGAGAGGAAGGUCCCCCAAACUGGCACUGGGAUAAGGGCCAGAAUCCUACGGGAGGCAGCAGUAGGGAAUAAUGGAAAAUGGUUGCAAGACUGAUCCAGCCAUGCCGCGUGCAGGAAGAAGGCCUUUUGGGUCGUAAACUGCUUUUUACUGUGGAUAAAAUACCCGGGCGCGGGGAAUUGAAGGUAACAGGGGAAUAAGCCACGGCUAACUACGUG
rnacentral:rRNA from 1 species